rnacentral:rRNA from 1 species
UACGUAGGGGGCAAGCGUUAAUCGGAAUUACUGGGCGUAAAGCGCGCGCAGGCGGCUAUCCAAGUCAAGUGGUGAAAGCCCGGAGCUCAACUCCGGAACUGCCAUUGAAACUGUUUAGCUUGAGGACGAGAGAGGUGAGUGGAAUUCCCAGUGUAGAGGUGAAAUUCGUAGAUAUUGGGAAGAACACCGGUGGCGAAGGCGGGUCUCUGGGCAGAACUGACGCUGAGGAGCGAAAGCGUGGGGAGCGAACAGG